rnacentral:rRNA from 1 species
AUGAACGCUGGCGGCGUGCCUAAUACAUGCAAGUCGAGCGAACAGACGAGGAGCUUGCUCCUCUGACGUUAGCGGCGGACGGGUGAGUAACACGUGGAUAACCUACCUAUAAGACUGGGAUAACUUCGGGAAACCGGAGCUAAUACCGGAUAAUAUAUUGAACCGCCUGGUUCAAUAGUGAAAGACGGUUUUGCUGUCACUUAUAGAUGGAUCCGCGCCGCAUUAGCUAGUUGGUAAGGUAACGGCUUACCAAGGCGACGAUGCGUAGCCGACCUGAGAGGGUGAUCGGCCACACUGGAACUGAGAAACGGUCCAGACUCCUACGGGAGGCAGCAGUAGGGAAUCUUCCGCAAAGGGCGAAAGCCUGACGGAGCAACGCCGCGUGAGUGAUGAAGGUCUUCGGAUCGUAAAACUCUGUUAUUAGGGAAGAACAAAUGUGUAAGUAACUAUGCACGUCUUGACGGUACCUAAUCAGAAAGCCACGGCUAACUACGUG